rnacentral:rRNA from 1 species
CCUACGGGAGGCAGCAGUGAGGAAUAUUGGUCAAUGGGCGCGAGCCUGAACCAGCCCAGUAGCGUGACGGAUGACUGCCCUACGGGUUGUAAACUUCUUUUAUAAAGGAAUAAAGUGAGGCCCGUGUGCCUUUUUGUCUGUACUUUAUGAAUAAGGAUCGGCUAACGCCGUGCAAGCAGCCGCGGUAAUACGGAGGAUCCGAGCGUUAUCCGGAUUUCUUGGGUUUAAAGGGAGCGUAGAUGGGUUGUUAAGUCAGUUGUGAAAGUUUGCGGCUCAACCGUAAAAUUGCAAUUGAUACUGGCAGUCUUGAGUACAGUUGAGGUAGGCGGAAUUCGUGGUGUAGCGGUGAAAUGCUUAGAUAUCACGAAGAACUCCGAUUGCGAAGGCAGCUUACUAAACUGCCACUGACAUUGAUGCUCGAAAGUGUGGGUAUCAAACAGGAUUAGAUACCCGUGUAGUU